rnacentral:rRNA from 1 species
CCUACGGUGGGCAGCAGUCGAGAAUCAUUCACAAUGGGGGAAACCCUGAUGGUGCGACGCCGCGUGGUGGAAUGAAGGUCUUCGGAUUGUAAACCCCUGUCAUGUGGGAGCAAAUUAAAAGAUAGUAACACAAGAAGAAGAGACGGCUAACUCUGUGCCAGCAGCCGCGGUAAUACAGAGGGCUCAAGCGUUGUUCGGAAUCACCGGGGGUAAAGCGGGCGUAGGCUGUUUCGUAAGUCGUGUGUGAAAGGCGCGGGCUCAACCCGCGGACGGCACAUGAUACUGCGAGACUAGAGUAAUGGAGGGGGAACCGGAAGUCUCGGUGUAGCAGGGAAAUGCGUAGAUAUCGAGAGGAACACUCGUGGCGAAGGCGGGUUCCUGGACAUUAACUGACGCUGAGGCACGAAGGCCAGGGGAGCGAAAGGGAUUAGAUACCCCAGUAGUC